AUCACCCAGGGAUAUUGUUAAAAUGUAGAUUCUGACUCUGUGGCAGGGGUUGAGAUUCUGCAUGUCUAGCAAGCUCCCAGGUGAUGCUGG
rnacentral:pre_miRNA from 1 species